rnacentral:lncRNA from 1 species
UCCUGAACACCCUGCAUGGCUUUUCUCUCCUCUGGUCCUUGUAAAGCUUCUCCCUUUCUCCUAUUCGUCGCUGGACAAAAUCUGUCUAGACAAUACUCUCUACCUCUUCCCUGGCCCCCUGCUGUAGAUAGUACACAGAGACAGAAGUCGCCUCAGCUACCCCCCUUCUGUUUCCAAGCAUACACGCCUCUCUCUGGAGGAACACACAGCUUGGUUAACGCUGCAGCAGUAGAGGCCGUGAGCUGCAUUUCCCCAUCGCGAAUCCCUUGCCCCCAUCACACAGUAGAUCCUCAGCCAACAACUGAACAGGCGGAAGACAGAAAUGACUAUGCUGUCUGUUUGCCUGCCUAACACCCCGCUUAGCACAAAGUAGGUGCUUAACAAGAAAUACGUGUUGAAGCAAAUCUAGUGUGUUCUGGUGGUGGUUCUUUUCUGUGUUGGCCAUUAAAGAGGAAGAACUAUGAGAACAGGAGAGAAGACAUUCCCUUUACUGUUCUCUAUGGAAGUAGAGUGACCUUAACAGUGCCCAUGGCGCCUAAAGGCCAUCUCGCCUCUCACCAGACUUCUGUUCUCCGCCCCACACAUUGCCCACUGCGUAACUGCAUCCUGCUCUCCUUCUGCCAGGCCAUCGCAUGCCUUCCCUUCGAUGAGAAAUACCCUUCAUAACUCACUCACCUUGCUUCCCUGGCCUUCACGUCCUGGGAUCAACAUCACUUUCUCAGGAAACCUUUCCCGGGCACACCAGGUUGACAUGAGAAUCUCACUGCACAUCUUGAUCAAGACCAGGAGCGAGGAUACACAGCCAGUGCUUCACGAGUGGUGAGUAAACAAUACAUAUUGGCUGCUGCUAACGUUGCGGUUGCUGUCCUUGUUUAGCCGUUCAGGAAUUGCUUGACUUUUGACUAAUUUACCUAAGACCUCUGUGGCUCAGUUUCGUGGUCUCAGAAGAAUGAGGCUGUGAGACCCUGUUACGCAACUAGCUGCAUUUCACUGGACACAAAGAUAAUGUCUACAAAGCCACAUGGACAAGGAGUGCACAAAUACGAAGUACUCACAUUAGUGAUAGUAGCACAGAGCUAUACAUCUUAGUUAUCAAAAGUUAGAAAUAUGCUUUGCACAUAUCAGGGAUUACACAUUAUAAAAAAAAAAAGCUGGUCCAAGUAGUUCACAAAUAAUUGUGUCGAGUAUCACUCUUGUCUGGGAACUGGCUGUUCCCCUCAAUCUGACUCUAAGAGUAUUCUCUCGGCAGCUCUAGAUGAUUAAGGUUGAGUGAAAGUCAGUACAUUUUCAAUGCAGAAUAUUCCAAUCAGGGAGCGCAAAAGCUCGCCUCACCUGUGCACAGCAAGGGCCACACGGGGUCUGGGGUCAGUGAUGACUGAGGACGGGGAGAUUUAUUCCCCUUCAGGGGGUAAGACGUCCCUGGGUCAGAUGCCAUAUGGACCUACUGACAUUGGAAAAUGUAGCUCUUUUUCUUUCCUUCUUUUCUCUCUCUCUCUCUCUUUUUUCCACACAGCUUUGUCUUCUCUGGCAUUGAAGUGUUAUAUUCAUUUCCCUGAAGAAGCAACAGGGAAAUGAACUGUAGCAAAUGCUGUUUAUUUCUGGAAUGAACACCCUCCAGUCCUAGAGAAUGGCCUGGGAUUAGAGAAAUCACUGAUAUUCUUAAAAGAACUCAUCUCCCCACUGAACAAAGGAGUAGAAAACAUAAUGGCUGUUGUAAACAACAAUUAGGAUUUUAAAAAUUGCCUUAUUGAAAUGGUUUGAGUUCUUUGCAGAGAUAACACACAAAUUUUGACUAAAUAAACCCAUAGAAAUAAAAGUGCUUCUAAAAGAUAUUAAAUGAAAAACCUAAGAAAAGGCUAAUUUCACAUUCUUUAGAUGGCAUCCUAGAGCAAAUGGUUAUAUGUUUUAAAUUGAUUUUUGAUGAGAACCCUGAGGCAUAAAUCCAAUUAAGAUAUACAGGGAUGUAUUUAUAAAAUCAAAUAAAUUUACUUAAUAGUUUAUUAAAAUAAGAAGCUCUUCUGGAAUUUAAAAUGUGAAUAUACAGAAAUGAAUAGCUAACCCAAUUAUGAAUUGCUUAAACUAUUUUUAUAAUAACGCUAUUGUUUGUCAUUUUUACGGAAUGCUGGUACAUGUGCGAAUAGUUCAGUUAUAAUUAAAAGUAUUCUGCGAAACAUGCAUCAUGAAGAUAUGGCCAAAUAAGUGCCCUUUUUUCUCAGCAGUUGAAUUUGUUACCUUUUUGCAGGUGUGAGUGUAGUACCAUUGGUUUAUUUUUAAAGAGCAGUGACAGAAUUUAAGGCUAAAGGUGAAGUCCCUGCCUAAUUCCAUCAGUUCGUAAAUAUCAUAACCAGGGGCUAGGUGUUCAAGCCCAGCUCUCUGUUCUCUUCUCCGCCAUGUGUUACUGUGCAGAGAACGAGCCUAGAACUAAUUUAAGCCAUACUUCCUUUCAACAUACGAAUCCAGAUCACAGAGUCAGGAAGGAGAGGCCAUUCUUUCUCUGAUUAACAGAGAUCAGCACCCUAUCACCUACUUCACUGUUAGAUCUUCUUAAUUGCUAAGUUCUUUCUACCAUUUGGCGGACUCUUCCCUUUGGACAACUUUCUUCGCCUCUGCACUGGUGACCUAGCUCCAAAAGCACGCAUGUCUUCUUCCAGAAACUAGAUGUUGGUUCCCAGAUCACCCGCACCCCCCUCAACCCCCCAUCUCUGUUUUCAAGUCAACCAGUUCCUUCAAUGCUUCUUUAUGCAUUCGGGGCAGUGGGCCCUCAAUCUGCUGGAAUUAAUUUAAAGGAGUUAUUUAUGCAGUUGUCGCCAUGAUUUCUUAAAUAUAAUUCUUUCAUGGCCCACCUGAAAUUUCGUACCUGGAACAACAGUCAAAAAAAAAAANAAAACACUGCAAAAAAGCAAACGUAAUUCUAGUACAAUUUGACCGAUAAAAGUAUAGUGAGAUUUUUAAUUAACUUUUCUUGGUUUUGUGUAAGGGUGUAAGUGGUUCUUACCUGACGUUUUGAGCCCUUUCAUGUACGUUUGCCAGAUGACUUGUGUUUGGAGAUGGUCUUUUGUCCUAGAACAGGGUAGGUAGCUCCAGCGAUGACGUGGCUGCAGGAUGAGACUUCCUUAAAUACGUCACCUGCAUCACAUCCAAUAUAUCUUAAUGUUUAUUUAAGUCCUUCAGUUGGAUGCUCCUGUUGUAAGAGGCAUGUCCUGAAGGGUUUCGCUCGUCUCUCUGUAAACCCUGUUUAUUAUCUCCCACAGGAGCUCAGAGAACCUUGCCAACUUGCUUGCCUCAAGUUUCUUCCCCAGUUCAUCCUCCGUAUUGAAAAUAGGGUGUGUUUUAGCAUACAUGUCUUCUUAUCUACUUUGCUAUAAAUAGAACUUCAGUUUGACUUAAAAAAAAAAAAAAAA